GCCUGGGUAGCUCAGUCGGUUAAGCAUCUGACUUCAGCUCAGGUCAUGAUCUCAUGGUUUGUGGGUUUGAGCCCCAUGUCCGGCU
rnacentral:tRNA from 1 species